ensembl:lncRNA
CCACAAGGGAAAGACUAAGAGAAGUCAUGAGCAACUUUGCUGAGCAAAUAAAUAUUAACUUAAUGGAUGUUUCCAUAGAAGGUGAGCUAAAAUAGGCCAUGCUUUGGUGACCUUAGCAGAUUUUGCACAUCUUUCACCAGAGUCCCAGUUUUCCAAUGUGCCUCAAUCUUUGAACCCUCAGCUUGCUCUGCCAGACAUUAGUGCACAUAAUCUGCCUGCAUCUGGCCCCGUGUUUUGCUAAUGCCUACUUCCUUUCCCUCGAAUCUGGUCACUCCUCAUUCUCUGACCCCCUUCCUGUUAUCCCUACCCUGCAGAAUGCUCUUGAUGUUUUUCUCCACCGGGUUGACCAUCUCUUUCAAAGAUCAAAGAGCUAAAUCUCUUUAGUGUGUGCUUCUUUUAUGUGUUCUUCAUCUUUUCAAUUUAAAUUUAUAAAUACAGGAAACUUUCAUCUAGUAGGACUAUGAACACCAGGAAGUUGAAAUAGCUGUUCUCUCCCAGGACUAGCUCUGUAGUCUUCAUUGUACCUGCGUAUUUCUUAAAUCUCUUACUUUUUGGCCCUCUGACUGAGGCAGAGACUGCAGCUUAUUCACUGUGGUAUCACUGGCACACCCCAGAACAUGAUGCUUGGUAGAUACAGGACCUCUUUUAUAAGAGCACUGAUACCAUUUUUUGAAGGUUCCACUCUCAUGACCUCAUCACCUCCCAAAGACUCCACUCCUAAUACCGUCAUCUUGAGGGGCUGUAAUUUCAACAUGCACAUGUUGGGGGAAUAUAAACAUUGAGACCAUGCCAACGAGAUGGUUUUAAGUAAAGGACUAUAUUAGCAAACAUUCAGAGAUGAGAUUAGAUUAUGUCUAAACAACAACCCCAAAUUCUAGAAAUUAGCCAUGUAAAUACCUAAUAGUUACAGCAAGAUAUCAUUCAUGCUGUAAAGAUGUACCAGAAGGAUGAAAUGACCUAGAAGGUCCAGGAAGGCUCUGUGACCAUCAUACCAUUGUCUUUGUCCCUUCAGGCCACUAUAACAAAAUACCAGAUGGAGCAGCUUAUGAGCAACAGAAAUUGAUUUCUCAUAGUUGUGGAGGCUGGACAUCCCGGAUCAGGGUGCCAGCAUGUCUGAGUGAGUGCUUUCUUCUAAGUUGUAGACCCCUCAUUGUGUCCUCACAGGGCGGAAGGGACUACGGACUUCCGUGGGACCUCCUUUGUAAGAGCACUGAUACCGUUUUUUGAAGGUUCCACUCUCAUGACCUAAUCGCCUCCCAAAGACUCCACCCCUGAUGGCAUCAUCGUAAGUGCUGUAGAGACAUAAAUGAGUCUUUAGGAGCCUGCUAUGCUCCAAGCCCUGUGCAAAUAGGCACAAUGCAUGUCUCUUUCUUUUCUCGACAACUAAGUGUUCCCACUCCCUGAACUUUACUUACCCUUUUAACUUAUACCCAGAGGUUCCUGUUUUUAAUUCCUUCGUGUCCUGACUCAGGGUGGAAUGUUCGCUCCCAAUAUCUUGCCCUCCCUCCUCUCUGAUUCCUCUUCAUCCUUCAAGACUUAGCUUGUUUUACCCAAGUCUGCAUGGUGGCUCCCUUCCCAAAGAAAUCAUUGGAAAAACAGGGUGAUACCAGUGAAAUGUGUAGGUGAAGAAAAAAAAAAGUUAUCAUUCUUUUUCAACUUAACAACAUUUUUUAGUUCCAUAUCCUCCAGUAAUUUUCCUCAGGAGUAUAAACUCGUAUAAUGCUACAUGCACUCAUUUGUAUUCUGCUUUUUCUCUUAUACAUAUUUUCCAUAUUUCCAUGUAAUUUUUCUAAUUAUCAUUUUCAUCAUAGAAACAGUAUUAUCCCAUUACAGAAAGUAAAUCACACAUAAUCACCAUCUUGACGACACUUCCUCUUUUCUCUAAAUACCUGAGUUAGAAUUUAAGGUUGAAGGUAGGCAUGUUUAAAUAGCCAAAGAAGCUUCGAUUGCCACUCGCUUUCUUUUUAUUUUGGUAAGGUAAGGUGUUGGAGAAAACUUCCUCGACAUUGACUUAACUGCUCUGAGCUUCCACUGUCCCACCUCUAGAAUGAAGGUGUUGAACUUGAUUGUCGCUAAGACGUUCAGUCCUUUUACAUGAUGACUAGUUCAUGACUCUAUGACUCUUAAUUUAAUAAACCUUUAUAGCAUUGUGGUGGGGAAUUCCUGGUGGUCUAGUGUCAGGACUCAGUGCUUUCACAGCUUUGGCCUGGGUUCAGUCCCUAGUCUGGGAAAUGAGGUCCCACAUAAAGCAGCUGCACAUGGUAGCCCCCCCCCCCAAAAAAAAUAUAUAUGGUGAAAGCUUUGGAUCCUCUUCAUUAGAAAUGCCCCUAUGCACAAACACAUAAAAUAUUUCCUGCAAGACCAUCUAGGGACCAAGAAUCUUUUGCUCUAAGCACAGGAAAGAAAAAUGGAUGGAAAUGACAUAGAAUUCAGAAAAUAUUUCCUACCUAAGAAAUAUUCUACCUUUUUCUCUAAUGCUAUGUAACCAAGAAGGCAGAAUAUGGGAAGAGAUUCCGAAAAGCAUGUCUUGAACACAUUGUAAAGUUACAUAAAAACAUUGACCAAAAUGAGUUUAAAACAUGAGCGUGAUCUGAUUAUGUAACGGAGGAGACUCACUAUUACUGUAGUUGAAAAUUGUGGCUCUGGAAGCUAUUCCUGGAAAUACUGAAUUCAGGCUUCUAGAAUGAGAGGAACAGUGGGCACGAUCACAAUUGUAUGGCUACUUUUAAAAAAUGUGUGCUGAGGAACUGAGUAUAUUCCCUAGUUUCAUUGUAUGUUAUUAGAAAACCAGUCUGUGAAAUUGGUUGUUCAAGGUUUUGUUCUCCGUGUGGAACGAGAGCAGAAGUGGAUGCUAACAUUGAGUCUUCAUAUACAUGAGGCCCCUCUUUCUUCCAGCAUCAUCAUCUUCCGUGGGAAGCCAGUGAAUCCUUACUUUAAAAUGCGAUUAUAGUGGAGAAAUGAUGUGAUUUUUUGAAUGUACACCAUUGACCAUAAGUUGCAUUUUAUGGCUCUAGUUAAAUGGCUCAGGAUGUUUCCGCUGAGUUCAAGGAGGUAGGGGAAGAAAUCAGUUUCAGAAAAUACAAAGCGGCUCAUUUAUUUAUGAUGUAGACUCUGUUCUCUUUGCGAUUCAGCUGCUUUCAAAGGCGUGUCGUGAGGAUGCUUCAGCUUUGGAAAUGGCCGUGUUGCGAUGGGAAAGAGGACAGUCAUCAGACAGCUCUUUUCAUGAGAGAUUUUGGAGUCAAAACUGCUUGGCCAUUCUUCUAAGGGAGGGUUUUUGCCAUGUAAUUCGAACGUGUAUUAAAUUGUAGCUUAAAAACAAUAAUCCUAGGAGUUCCCAUCGUGGCUCAGCAGAAAUGAAUCUGACUAGUAACCGUGAGGACGUGGGUUCGAUCCUUGGCCUUGCCCAGUAGGUUAAGGAUCCAGCGUUGCCCUGAGCUAUGGUGUGGGUAGCUAACAUGGCUUGGAACCCACAUUGCUGUGGCUGUGGCUGGCAGCUGUCGCUCCAGUUUGACACCUAACGUGGGAACUUCAUAUGCCAUAGAUGUG